GCUUCCGAGCUGGGUGCGCGCCGAGCACAGGAGAUUGCCUGCGUUUAGGAGGUGGCUGCGUUGUGGGAAAAGCUAUCAAGGAAGAAAUUGCCAAACCAUGUCUUUUUUUCUGUUUUCAGAGACUAAAAUGUUCGUUCAAAUGAAUGGCCAUUGGAUAACUCCAGACCUGAAAAUAAACACUGUUGUCAAAACAGCAUCCAGGCCGGGCGCGGUGGCUCACGCCAGUAAUUCCAGCACUUUGGGAGGCCGAGGCGGGCAGAUCACCUCAGUAGUUCACAACAGAUCUGAGUGUUUUAAUUAAGCAUGGAAUACAGAAAACAACAAAAAACUUAAGCUUUAAUUUCAUCUGGAAUUCCACAGAGACAAGGCCACUUUAUGUUUCCCAGGCUGGACUGGAACCCCUGGGCUCAAAUGAUCCUCCUACCUAAGCCUGCAGAGUAGCGAGGACUUCAGUUUUCUUAGCUCCCUGGACCCGGUUGACCUGUUGGCUCUUCCCGCUGGCUGCUCUAUCACGUGGUGCUCUCCGACUACUCACCCCGAGUGUAAAGUCUUGCUGCUCUGUUGCCCAGGCU
rnacentral:lncRNA from 10 species